rnacentral:rRNA from 1 species
UACGUAGGGUGCGAGCGUUAAUCGGAAUUACUGGGCGUAAAGCGUGCGCAGGCGGUUUUGUAAGCCAGAUGUGAAAUCCCCGGGCUCAACCUGGGAAUGGCAUUUGGGACUGCAAGGCUAGAGUGUGGCAGAGGAGACUGGAAUUCCUGGUGUAGCAGUGAAAUGUGUAGAUAUCAGGAGGAAUACCGAUGGCGAAGGCAGCCCCCUGGGCUGACACUGACGCUCAGGCACGAAAGCGUGGGGAGCAAACGGG